UUUCUAACCAACGCGAAAGAAAACAUCAAACAACCGACAAUUAACGUCGACUAACACCAAGCCAGCACUGAGCGGCGUGGACAACUCACUUCGUGUGUGCGCAAGCACGACGUCUGGGCCAGUUUCCCCUCAGCCACGACUCAGAAUCCACAACAACUGAGGUACCAUCACGAUCGUGAGAGUACCGUAUGCAACAAUGACCGUGCUGUAACCUCUCUUGAACCGGGAGCUUCGACUCGUCACCUCUUGCAAGAACUAUUAUCUACCCGGAGCAAUCAAAAUGUCUACAGAAGACUGUUUAACAUCACCUCACCAUCAGGAUGCUGAUGUUUGUGAUGAAGAGGACUUGAUUGGACUUGCUACCACCACUUGUGAUAUGUCCGGUGUCUCUGGUGGAUCUUCUCAUGAUGACCAGCAACAGCUGCACUUGAGCAAUGCUAAAUUUAAGGAGGAAGUUUUGAAUGCUGAAGCCAGAUGUCAACUCAAUAGCCAAGAUGCAGUCGAUGACUUUUUCUGCACCAGUGAGUUUUAUGAGG